rnacentral:rRNA from 1 species
UAGGGAAUGUUGGUUAAUGUGCGAAAGCGCGAACCAGCAACGCCGCGUGUGCGAUGAAGGCCUUCGGGUCGUAAAGCACUUUUUGCAGGGAAGAGGAAGGACGGUACCUGCAGAAUAAGUCUCGGCUAACUACGUGCCAGCAGCCGCGGUAAAACGUAGGAGACGAGCGUUAUCCGGAUUUACUGGGCGUAAAGCGCGUGCAGGCGGCAUGGCAAGUUGGAUGUGAAAGCUCCCGGCUUAACUGGGAGAGGUCGUUCAAUACUGCCAGGCUUGAGAGUGGCAGAGGGAAGCGGAAUUCCGGGUGUAGUGGUGAAAUGCGUAGAUAUCCGGAGGAACACCAGUGGCGAAAGCGGCUUCCUGGCCCAUUUCUGACGCUCAGACGCAAAAGCUAGGGUAGCAAACGG